rnacentral:misc_RNA from 1 species
UCCGUGUUUCCACGGCAGUCCCACUAGAGUCCCGCUUUUCAGCAAGCAACUAAUGGCAAGGGUUGCGCUCGUUCAAGGACUUAACCCGACGUCUCACGACACGAGCUGACGACAGCCAUGCAGCACCUGUGUAACCGUCUGUAUUGCUACAGAACCCAGUGUUUCCACCAGUAGCGAUUACAUGUCAAACCCAGGUAAGGUUCCUCGCGUAGUGUCGAAUUAAACCACAUGUUCCACCGCUUGUGCGGACCCCCGUCAAUUCCUUUGAGUUUUAAUCUUGCGACCGUACUUCCCAGGUGGAUCACUUAACGCGUUAGCUUCGACACAGAUCCUGCUAUGCAAGACCUACAUCUAGUGAUCAUCGUUUACGGCGUGGACUAC